CCUACGGGGGGCAGCAGUGGGGAAUAUUGGACAAUGGGCGCAAGCCUGAUCCAGCAAUGCCGCGUGUGUGAAGAAGGCCUUCGGGUUGUAAAGCACUUUUGUUAGGGAGGAAAGUCUGGUAGCUAAUAACUGCUAGAUCUGACGUUACCUAAAGAAUCAGCACCGGCUAACUCUGUGCCAGCAGCCGCGGUAAUACAGAGGGUGCAAGCGUUAAUCGGAAUUACUGGGCGUAAAGGGUCUGUAGGCGGAUUAUUAAGUCGGAUGUGAAAUCCCCGGGCUCAACCUGGGAACGGCAUUCGAUACUGGUAGUCUAGAGUGUGCAAGAGGAUGGGGGAAUUCCUGGUGUAGCAGUGAAAUGCGUAGAGAUCAGGAGGAACAUCAAUGGCGAAGGCACCUUUCUGGGGCAACACUGACGCUGAGAGACGAAAGCGUGGGGAGCAAACAGGAUUAGAUACCCGAGUAGUC
rnacentral:rRNA from 1 species